GAUGAACGCUAGCGGGAGGCUUAACACAUGCAAGUCGAGGGGCAUCACGAGGUAGCAAUACUUUGGUGGCGACCGGCGCACGGGUGAGUAACACGUAUGCAACCUUCCCUGUACAGGGGGAUAACCCGGAGAAAUUCGGACUAAUACCCCAUGAUGAUAUUAUGGGGCAUCCUUUAAUAUUUAAAGCUCUGGCGGUACAGGAUGGGCAUGCGCGACAUUAGCUAGUUGGUAAGGUAACGGCUUACCAAGGCGACGAUGUUUAGGGGACCUGAGAGGGUUGUCCCCCACACUGGUACUGAGACACGGACCAGACUCCUACGGGAGGCAGCAGUGAGGAAUAUUGGUCAAUGGGCGCAAGCCUGAACCAGCCAUCCCGCGUGAAGGAAGAAUGCGCUACGCGUUAGUAAACUUCUUUUCCAGGGGGAGAAUAAUCCUGUCGUGACAGGACUUGACGGUACUCUGGGAAUAAGCAUCGGCUAACUCCGUG
rnacentral:rRNA from 1 species